GACGAACGCUGGCGGCGUGCUUAACACAUGCAAGUCGAACGGAAAGGCCCGGCUUUUGUGGGGUGCUCGAGUGGCGAACGGGUGAGUAACACGUGAGUAACCUGCCCUUGACUUUGGGAUAACUUCAGGAAACUGGGGCUAAUACCGGAUAGGAGCUCCUGCUGCAUGGUGGGGGUUGGAAAGUUUCGGCGGUUGGGGAUGGACUCGCGGCUUAUCAGCUUGUUGGUGGGGUAGUGGCUUACCAAGGCUUUGACGGGUAGCCGGCCUGAGAGGGUGACCGGCCACAUUGGGACUGAGAUACGGCCCAGACUCCUACGGGAGGCAGCAGUGGGGAAUAUUGCACAAUGGGCGGAAGCCUGAUGCAGCAACUCCGCGUGCGGGAUGACGGCCUUCGGGUUGUAAACCGCUUUCGCCUGUGACGAAGCGUGAGUGACGGUAAUGGGUAAAGAAGCACCGGCUAACUACGUG
rnacentral:rRNA from 1 species